UACGGAGGGAGCUAGCGUUGUUCGGAAUUACUGGGCGUAAAGCGCACGUAGGCGGCUACUCAAGUCGGGGGUGAAAGCCCGGGGCUCAACCCCGGAACUGCCCUCGAAACUAGGUAGCUAGAAUCUUGGAGAGGCGAGUGGAAUUCCGAGUGUAGAGGUGAAAUUCGUAGAUAUUCGGAAGAACACCAGUGGCGAAGGCGGCUCACUGGCCCGGUACUGACGCUGAGAUACGAAAGCGUGGGGAGCAAACAGG
rnacentral:rRNA from 1 species